rnacentral:rRNA from 1 species
UACGAAGGGUGCAAGCGUUACUCGGAAUUACUGGGCGUAAAGCGUGCGUAGGCGGUUCGUUAAGUCCGUUGUGAAAGCCCUGGGCUCAACCUGGGAAUGGCAGUGGAUACUGGCGAGCUAGAGUGUGAUAGAGGAUGGUGGAAUUCCCGGUGUAGCGGUGAAAUGCGCAGAUAUCGGGAGGAACACCUAUUGCGAAGGCAGCUCGCUGGGACGUCACUGACGCUGAGACGCGAAAGCGUGGGGAGCAAACAGG